GGCUGAAUGACCUUAUAUAGUGAUGGCCAUUAGAAGCAAUAAGGAAGAACCUAAAUUUUAAUUGGUCGCAUUCAGCGGGCGUAGCAAAACGCUCCCGAUACAUAGCGACUGGCAACGUGUAUGUAUCUAGGGGUUAUUUUUUUUUUUGGGUGUUGAUUUUGAGAUUUACAUUUUUUUCGAAGGACCUACUACAUCAGAAAUUAGUAGAAAGGAUGUUAUGGACAUUUUAAUUGAAAACGAAAUGACGGAGGAUAAUAUAGUCAAAUGGUUUUGGAAUUAGCAGAACCAAUUCAAAUAUUCGAGGUUAAUGAUGGUGUCCAAUACCAAAGAAUACCAAGAAAAGACUGUAAGGAAUUAUGGGAAUUUAUUCAAUUUAUCACAUCCAGCAAGUUUCAGAGCAACGUGACAUUUGAAAUACGACACAUGGAAGUCGAUAUUGCAGGUGAGGUUGGAAAUGAGGAAAGGAACCAAAUAGCAAAUAUGCUCUUAUACCAAAUAAAAAUGUGUUCUCGAAUUAUUGCUCUUUUUUUUGUAAUUCACAGAAUAAGUGCAAAAUUUUAUUUCUUUCCUCCUGGAUUUUCUUACUAAGAGGUUAAUUUCUUGUAUUCGAGCUUCCUCAAUAUUUGUCAGCCUUCUUUGUAGAUAAAACAUUAAACUCUUUAACUUCCUAGCCUUGGUACUUCUAAAAUGAAAACAUGUUAUAAGCCUUUAAUUAUACAAAUAAAACAUCCUAUGGGGCAUAUACAUGUUGCUCUGAUU